UACGAACGCUGGCGGCAGGCUUAACACAUGCAAGUCGAGCGCCCCGCAAGGGGAGCGGCAGACGGGUGAGUAACGCGUGGGAAUCUACCCAUCUCUACGGAACAACGCAUGGAAACGUGUGCUAAUACCGUAUACGUCCUUCGGGAGAAAGAUUUAUCGGAGAUGGAUGAGCCCGCGUUGGAUUAGCUAGUUGGUGGGGUAAAGGCCUACCAAGGCGACGAUCCAUAGCUGGUCUGAGAGGAUGAUCAGCCACACUGGGACUGAGACACGGCCCAGACUCCUACGGGAGGCAGCAGUGGGGAAUAUUGGACAAUGGGCGCAAGCCUGAUCCAGCCAUGCCGCGUGAGUGAUGAAGGCCCUAGGGUUGUAAAGCUCUUUCACCGGUGAAGAUAAUGACGGUAACCGGAGAAGAAGCCCCGGCUAACUUCGUGCCAGCAGCCGCCGUAACAC
rnacentral:rRNA from 1 species